GCCUCCAUAGCUCAGUUGGUAGAGCGUCCGGCUGUUAACCGGCAGGUCACAAGUUCGAGUCUUGUUGGAGGCGCCA
rnacentral:tRNA from 1 species